UCCGGGGUGGGGUAAUCGGCAGCCCGUCAGGCCUUGGACCUGAAAGAGAAGGUUCGAAUCCUUCCCCCGGAG
rnacentral:tRNA from 1 species